GUAUCCCAUGGGGAUGCAGGUUUGAUCCCUGACCCUGACCACUGGAUGAAUAAGGAUCCGGCAUUGCCAUGAGCUCCGUGCUUCUGCUCUGUGUGCUAUGGAAGAUUUAGGAAUGAAUAAGACAUGAACUAGCUGCUCAAUGAAUCUGAUGUUGUGAGAUGAUAAUGUGGGUUCAUGAAAGUGGUAACUAGCCAUGCCAGCCAGCACAGGAAAAAAGUGAAAAGCGAACCUUAUGGGGCAUUAGACCAGGGGGUUGGAACCCUAUGGCUUUGGAAGACAGAUAACUGUUUAUUUGUUUCAUAAAUAUUUAUCUGUGAGAAUCACCACCUUCCUGAUUUUUGCCCAUCUGCUUGGUAACAUUACUAUCACUAUAAUACUAUUAUAUUCCUUUAAAUCAAUGUAUGUAUAACUAAAUUUUUAAAAACCCUUUAGGAGUUCCCAUUGUGGCUCAGCAGAUUAAAAACCUGAGUAGUAUCCAUGAGGAUGUGGGUUCAAUCCCUGGCCUUGCUCAGUGGGUUAAGGAUCCAGCGUUGCUCUGAGCUGUGGGGUAGGUCACAGAUGCAGCUGGGAUACUGAGUUACUGUGGCUGUGAUGUAGGCCUGCAGUUACAGCUCUGAUUUGACCCCUAGCUUGGGAACUUCCAUAUGCUACAGGUGCAUCCCUAAAAAGAAAAAAAAAGGAGGUCUGUCGUGGCUUAGCAGAAAUGAAUCUGACUAGUAUCCAUGAGGACACAUGUUCGAGCUCUGGCCUUGUUCGGUGGGUUAAGGAUCUGGCACUGCCGUGAGCUGUGGUGCAGGUUGCAGGUGUGGCUUAGAUCUGGCAUUGCUGUGGCUGUGAUGUAGGCCAGCAGUUACAGCUUCGAUUCCACCCCUAGCCUGGGAACCUCCAUUUGCUGUGGGUGCGGUCCUAAAAAAGAUAAAAAACAAAACCAAAAAAACCCCCACAGACUUUAUAAUCACUUAAUCUAAAGUGGAAAAUUUGCUAGAAACAGAAGGUAAAAAUAGUCAAAUACAAGGAAUAAAUACGAGGAAAACAACAGCUAGAUUCUGGGGACUUCCUGAGGGUUAAAACCUGAUGUCAGCUCACACUUCCUCCAAAAAGGAGUGUCCAAAGUAUUUUAGGGUAUAAAAUCUGGCAACAAACAUAGCCUUUCUUGUUGGAAAAGAAAUGCUGAGAGAAUAUUAAAUUGCUGAUGAUUCCAUGAUUUAUACACUCUAUGAGUAAUGAAAUACCUGCCUGAUCUAUAUCUGAAGACCCCCUGGGUACCAUGAAGGACCAUCCUGUAUGAGAUCUGGUGGAUUGGAAAGCAGAUGAAAAAUCAAAGAUCAAAGAUCAAGGUGACUCUUUUCAGUAAAAUCCAUGGGAAAUUCUUUCUGUCCUCUCCUGGCAAUCAUAUCGAUGGGGAUGUGUCCAGAGUCACAAAUUGGGAGAGGGGGGUGCUCCUGGUUUCAAAGAGGCAGCAACUUCAUCAUGUUCCAAAGCCAGGCUGAUGACACCUCAGUGGAGAUGGAGGGUAAGCCUCCUGCCACCUCCCUUUCCGGGGAGGUGGGCUGGCUCUUGUAUCUGCUGGAGGCUCAGUAAAGGAAGCAGCGGGACUCCUGGCCCUUUUAGCACUGAGCUUGAGUAUCUAUGCUCUGACAGUCACAGCCAAGUGCCUUCUGUCCUCGGAGGCCUGCGGAUGGACCCAAGUUCUGCAUUAACAGGAAGUACAUGAAUUAAAUGACUUUGACAGACCAGGAAUAGUUUAGUUGUCUGGGCAACUUGAAGAUGGUAUCCAAUGGUUAGAAACAUUUGCAUGAAUCAACGGAUGUGCAGAUUUCUGCUUUUUUUUUUUUUUUUUUUUUUAAGAGCGCUAAGAUAUUCAGGAAGUGUAACUCUCAUAAGAAGCUCCAUGGAGCCCAGAGCAAUUUUGCAAAUGAGUGUUAAUGAUGUCGUCCAAGGCCAGAACUAGCAGUGUGUUUGUCCAUAACUGUAUCAGUGACAGGGUUUAAUAUACUGUCUAAAUAAUCAUUUGUGCCUCCUACGUCAUCAUAUGCUUCCCCUUAAUUACAUUCACUCCUAGUUUAAUUAGGUCAACCCAAAAAGUCCUUCUUAGAGAAAAUGGGGUUAAAGUGUUAUACAUGGUAAUUACCCUUUUAAGGAAAUGGAUGGAAGCUGGUUAUAUUAUAGGGUGUUUCAUCUCACUCCAUGGUCCCAUUCCUGGUCUAAGGAGUAACACGGAGGUCAAUUAUUGGAGGGACAUUAACAGGGCCUUCCUUUAUCUCUGCAGAGGUGGCAAAUGUGGAAGUAAAGAGCAUGUAACUGGAGGGGGAGAAGGAGUCUUCUGGGUUUGCAUUUCGUGCAGACAGGAGAGGAGGUAUUCCCGCUUGUGUUCUCUAGGAUGGAGGAACAAGCCUUCCUCCAGGGGAGUGAUGUCAUACACAUGGCAUAGUGGAGGUUUGUUGAUUGUCUCUCCACCUCCAUCUCCCUUCCCAUCACUCCCUCUAGUUUCUAGAUUCACAAGGCUCAGAGGAAGCUGACUGUACCCUCCACUCUAGGGGUAGAGCAUGUGACCUAGGCCAGCUGUUGGUACCUUCUGUCUCUUGGGCCACCUUCAGAUCCAUAUCUUGGCCUCAGCUCGUCCAAUCAGAGUGUCUGGGGGAUGUGGUUGCCAUGUUGUCUUAAAGAUAUUCUCCCUUUCCUGCCAGCUGUGGAUAAGAAAGCUUAAAAUACCUGGACCUAUUAGCACCUAGCUUGGAAUCAGAGUCAGGUAUUGAAGCCAACCCCAAGAAAGGCAGCCUAGACCCUAGAAAGAAAUUGAGCAAUAUCAUCUGAGUUACUAGGUCCAGCCCUGCCUGAAGCCCUUGCCCUGGCUCUUUGGAACCUAAAUUAUCCUAAUCAAAACAUACGACCCUCCUCCAUCUCUUGCUCACAGCACACACUGCUGAUUCUCCAUGAUGUUCUUUCCUACUGAGCCUGGUUACAGCCUCUAAAAUCUUCUCAGUGCCAUUAAAUACAGGCAUUAAAGGAAGCUGAUGUGAGAUGAAAUCUAUUUGUUAUUUCUGCCUAGAGAUGCAACUGGUAUAUGCUUAGUGACACUGUGACCAGAGCUUUUAUGGAGCUCCCAGCUCAUGCCCUAAGUCAGUGUUUGCUACAGGAAAAGAAAUGUAGGCUAGGGAAAAGAGACAUGCCAUUUAGAUGGAGACAGACCUGAGUUUGUUUAUUUUUAUUUAUUUAUUUAUUUAUUAUUUUUAAUUUAAAAAAUAAAGUAUAGUUGAUUUACAAUAUUCUGUCAAUUUCUGCUAUGUAGCUAAGUAACCCAGUUAUACAUAUGUAUACAUUUCUUUUCCCAUAUUAUUUUCCAUCAUGUUCUAUCCCCAGAGAUUGUAUAUAGUUCCCUGUGCUGCGCAGUAGGACACUCAUUGCUUAUCCAUUCUAAAUGUAAUAGUUUGCAUCUACUCACCCCAAACUCCCUGUCCAUCCCACUCCCUCCCCCACCCUCUUGGCAACCACAAGUCUGUUCUCUAUGUCAGUGAGUCUGUUUCUGUUUAGUAGAUAGGUUCAUUUGUGUACUAUUUUAGAUUCCAUGUAUAAAUGAUGUCAUAUGGUAUUUGUCUUUCUAUGACUUCACUUAGUAUGAGAAUCUCUAGUUGCAUCCAUGUUGCUGCAAAUGACAUUAUUUCAUUUUUUAUGGCUGAGUAGUAUUCCAUUGAAUAGAUGUACUACACCUUCUUAAUCAUUCACCCAGACAGACCUGAGUUUAAAUCCUGGUUCCAUCACCUACCAGCUAUCAGAUGUGAGCAUAUCCUUUGAUUUUCCUAAACAUUCUCAUCACUGUGUGUUUAACUGGAAUGGGAGCUUUUGCAUUAAUCUCAGAGGAGCUGUUUGUGAGGAUUAAACAGAACAAAAACUGGUAAGGUCUCAGUGGUAGGCCUGGCUCACAGGAAGGGCUCAGAACCACUGGCUGUGAGAUAAGAGGUUGGAGGUUCCAGAAAAAUGGGAGAUGGCAGCAUCUCAGUGGUGGGAACAAAGUGGAUUUGUGAGAAUGAGUGGGGUCCCAACACCCCAGCUUCAGGCUGGUGAAAAAUACCAGGUAUGGGGACCAGUGGUCCAUUCAAGGGGAGAGUACUGCUGGAGUGAGCUUUGGCCAAGCUCUCUGUGGCUUUUGUGCUGGAAAAGCAAGCUGUCCUUUCUUUGUUUCUCCUCCUUUUUGUCCUGUUUCCUGCCCCAUCAAGCUCCUUGCUUGCUGCUUCACAGAGAUGCAAGAGGAAAGGGCCCAGGUCCUGGGACAUUCACAGCUUCCCGCAGCCACAGGCUCUGCCCUGUAUGAUAUGGGGCAGGGAGUUCCUUAACCUCUGUCUAGUUUGCUCCUGCCUGGAAUCAUGCCAGGUGCAUAGUAGGAGCUUAGUAGUCAGGUAUUAAUUGGUCCAGGUUUUUUUUUUUUCUUCUGUUCCUCAGUCUCCUUGGAUGUCGAGUGGGUUUAACAACAACACCCGUCCUGCAGACAGGUUUGAGGACCAGAGGGGUCACUCAGUAAAUGCUGUUGUGGUUGUCACUCAGAUUCUGCAGGAGUCUGAGCCCUGAGCCCUCCCGAAGAUGGCGAGAGCCAGAGGAGGCAGUGAAGGGAGGGAGACAAAGCGGGAGAGGGAGAGAGAAAAAAAAAGAAGAAGGAGGGGGAACAGAAGAAGGAAGAGAGAGAGAAAGAGGGAGAGAGGUGGGAGAGAACAGAUGAGGGUGUGGAGAGGUGAGGGUGGGAGAGGAGGAGGAGGGAGAGAGAGGGAGAGGGAACGGGCAAAGGAAGAGAAGGGGGCAGCCAGAGACAGAGAGAAAAGUGUGUGUGUGGUCCUCUUCAGAUGUCGUGGUGUGGAACACAAUACCUUGGACAGCUCCCCUCCUGUCCUGGGAGGCAUGUGCAGGCAGAAUGUCACAGUCUGUAACAGCAGACAUCCUUUGCUCUUGGACCCAGAGCACUGGUCUCUAGGUUCCUUUAAAAAUUCAAUUAUGUUGGAGCUCCUGUGGCACAACAGGAUCUGCAGGGUCUUGGGAGCACUGGGCUGCGGCUUGGUUCACAGCUGCAGCUCAGAUCUGAUCCUUAGCCAGGGAGCACCAUAUGCCUUGGGGCGCCCAUCCCCCCCCCAAAAUUCAAAAUGUUUGUGGAGUGGGCUCUUAAAGUCAUGAUGGCAGAGAUCUGAAUCCUUUGCUUGUCACCACAGGGCAGUGUCUGUCACUGUUCAUGAAAAAUCGUGCUUCUUAUAUUUAUUGUUUUUUUGUUUGUUUGUUUGUUUGUUUGUUUUUCCUUAGCUCUCCCCUCCAGAUUUCUUACAUCACACUCCCCAUGCCCAGGUAACCAACAUGGCUCCUUCCACACCUUUCUCCCCACUGUAUAAUCAAGUGUAAACACCUGUAUGCCCAUAUUUAGACCUUUUUGGGUUUUGUUGGUUUAUUAAAAAUAGAGAUGGACCCUAUGUGUGUAUCUGUGUCUAUAACUUGUUUUACUCAAAAGUGUGUCAAAGGAGGUCUCCUGUGGUGUAAUGGGUUAAGGAUCCAGUGUAGUCACUGCAGUGGUGUGGGUUGCUGUUAUGGUGUGUGUUUAAUUCCUGGCCUGGGAACUUUCAUAUGCCCUGGGUACAGCCAAAAAAAAAAAAAAAAAAAA
ensembl:lncRNA